AGACUCCGAGCUGCUGGUUGUGUGGCUGCUGGUCGAGCUAGCUUCUUGACUCAGUUGCACACAUUGCUAUCGCCGAUUCUCUUCCACCUCCGAUCCUUCUUCACUGAGAAUAAAGACUGACGAUUUUCCCCUAACCUGAAUUCCUGUCUCGUGCUGAUCUUAAAAUAUACGAUCUUAACAUUUGGCGCCCAACGGUGGGAACCAAGGACUGAAGAAGUCUCCGGUGACCAGGAACUUGGAGGAGGAGCAGACCUUUGAAACAAAGGAGAAGACCCAAGAAAUAUCGGGUGGUGCUGUUGCUGAUUGUGCUCACCAUUGAAAGAGCGUGGCAGUUAUGGCGUUUGACUCAUGGACAUCAAAGAUUGUCGGAUUUCAAAACCCUCAGGAAUCAUUGGAUUCUCUGAGACAUAGGACUUGAAAACUCUCAGGAAUCAUUGGAUUCUCUGAGACAUAGGACUUGAAAACCCUCAGGAAUCAUUGGAUUCUCUGAGACAUAGGACUUGAAAACUCUCAGGAAUCAUUGGAUUCUCUGAGACAUAGGACUUGAAAACCCUCAGGAAUCAUUGGAUUCUCUGAGACAUAGGACUUGAAAACUCUCAGGAAUCAUUGGAUUCUCUGAGACAUAGGACUUGAAAACCCUCAGGAAUCACUGGAUUCUCUGAGAAAUGAUAAGACUGUUACAACACUUCAAAAUCUGCUGGAAUCAUUGGAUUCCCUAACACAUAAAAAGACUUUCAGGACUUCAAAAACUCAGGGGGAUCAUUGGAUUCCCUGACAUGUGAAACAAUGGACAAUAGAUUGGUUUUGGACUAUCUCUUGGCUGCUGAAGAAGGUGUAUGUGUGACUGUUGUUUACAUACCCACCUUCUAGGACUUCUGGUGAUCUUUUCCAACACCAUGUUGAUUUAUAUUGUUUGCUAUUCCGCUACUUGUGUGUACAAUUCAUGUUUGUUACACCACAUUGAGCCUGCACUGACUGAGGGGAGGGUCAUCCCUAAUAGCCUCUGCGUUAUUGCUAUGUGCUUGUGUAAUACCUCCCAUGCUGAUGGG
rnacentral:lncRNA from 1 species